rnacentral:rRNA from 1 species
UACAGAGGGUGCAAGCGUUAAUCGGAAUUACUGGGCGUAAAGCGUGCGUAGACGGUUAUGUAAGUCGGGUGUGAAAUCCCCGGGCUCAACCUGGGAACUGCAUUUGUGACUGCACAGCUGGAGUGCGGCAGAGGGGGAUGGAAUUCCGCGUGUAGCAGUGAAAUGCGUAGAUAUGCGGAGGAACACCGAUGGCGAAGGCAAUCCCCUGGGCCUGCACUGACGCUCAUGCACGAAAGCGUGGGGAGCAAACAGG